CUUUAAAUGGACUUAGUGUCAAGUCUUGCACCUUUGCUGCUGGUGAGAGAAUGGUCAGCUUGAUGACAGUUAGUAUUUAAUACAUAUUGUGAAACAGACAGGGAAUUUAACCCCAUGCAUGGACACUGAUAACGACUUUUUUUUGCAACUAGAUUUCUAGCUUCUCACAUAAGUAAGGCAUGCUGAGAUUGUUGAGGUAGUGAAUGUAUAGCAUAUGGCCCCAUCUGCCCUAAUGAAAACACUAAGAAGGACACAAAAGGAUGCAGCGUGAUGGCAGCAAGCAACAUUCUUCUGACCUGGGGGAAAAGAUGAAGGGUGGAAGGAUGAGGAGACAGAUGAGAAGGGGUGGGGGUGAGGUGUGUGCAAAUGUGAAGGGAGACUGAGGAAAGGGCAGAACAGCUUUGGUAUUAAGAGAUAAUUGAAAUGGUAGGAAACUUCAGAAGACUUAGUCCUUUUAGAUUUAACUACUUUGUCUGUAUUUGUUAAUGAU